rnacentral:lncRNA from 1 species
UUUUUAGGUUACGAGCCAAGUCACUGCCUCAAGUUAUUCUGUCAAAACAAAAUAUUCAUGGUCCAUACUGAGUAUCGAGUUAUAAUUCUUUAUAUCUAUACUUAUUUUGUGUGCAUUUCAUAGUUGAACCUUGCAUGUUUAAUUUUCUAAACAUCACUUGGGUAUCAACUUGUAUGAGCUUUGUCAGGACACUUAAUUUCUUUUCAUCUUCAAACUGAUGUAAAAUAGCAUCUGGUCUAAUUAGAUGGGUUUCACUGGCAUUAUUACUCUCCAAAAAACUUAAAAUAGUUGUUUUUGCUCCAAUUUGGAGCUCAGUGGACUGAUGGUUGCUACGACUGCAGACUGGAGAGAAGCUUGAGAAUAGCUUCAUUCAAAUCUCAGGAAUAAUUUUUUGGAUGCACUUGCAGCAGUAAGAAGGCGGGUUCCAAUUCAUUCAUAUCAUUCUCCGGU